AAACUUGAUUUGGUGAGAACUUUGAGGCGUUUGACAUGAGGUAUAUAAAGAAAAAAAACUACCUGUGCUGCGUUUUGCGACAAGGACCGGAACAGUGGAAGUGGGUAGCGUAUCACUACAGGUCAUUUACUGUCGAUAAAACCAAGAACAACAACAACAAGAACUUUAAAGAUGUUUUCCAGUAUUUUCAUAACAACAUUAAUAGCAGCCGUGAUUGGACAGAUC